rnacentral:lncRNA from 1 species
CCAGUGAUAGCAGGAAAAUGCACAAUGUGAGUAGUGAUUCCUAAGCAUUUAAGGGGUGAUUUUCAAGUAAUAGAGUGAGCAGAAGACACCAUGUACAGGGACUCCAGAUGCCCCAGGCAGAGGUAAAAUGCUCGAAAGAGAGGAACAUCACUACCUGGCGGGCAGGUGGGGACAGGCUUGCCACGGAUGGUCUGGGGAUGGGAUAACUCUCUGGCUCCCACUCUGAGAAGCAGGAGGUGAUCUGGCCACAAGCCCUCAAGACGUGUUGAGUUUGGGAAUACCUCACUGCUAGGGAAUACCAGGAAUUAUGCAAUUCACUGUCUUCAUUUUAAAAUUCUGUAUGGGAGAAGCUAAAAAGUGAAGUUGGGGGGUUUUAGUAUAUUUCAUUUGCAUUGGUUUACUCUUCUCGUUCCUUGAUUAUCUGAGAGGAGGCUGCUGUUACGGAAAAGCGAAAACCAGGAGUGGUUUGAAUAUUCUUCCUUGAGACUUUUGACUGUUUCUAUAAGAAGUGGAUCUGCAUGUGCCUUUUGGAUAUUGUGUUCCUCAUGACAAUGCCUUUUGUUCAUAGAUAGUUCCCAGUUUCCAAAGACUUUCCCCAUUAUAACAUUUGUUCCAUCCUCAAAACCGUCAAAUGCAAAGGCCUCCAUUUUAUUAAAGGAGAAAGUACGACUCAAAGAAGUCAAGUGACUCACCCGAGGUCACACAGCUAAAUUCUAGCAGAGCAAGGGACCAAGAUAGUGAAUUCUAAAUGCAGAGACCUUCUUAUUGUUCCAAUUUUCUGUCCGACAAUGCCCACCUCCUGGAGUGAGCAAGUCUUGCUGGAGACACAACAGCAGCUACAAGUGGUCCUCCCGACUAUUCCAGAAAUCCUUUUUCCACAGUGAAAAACUGAAUUUGCCUGCCCCAGUUUCCCAGCCGCCUCAUGACUCGAUGAGCAAUUGCUUUAACUCUGACAAAAUUAGGCCACCUCCAACCUAAAUGUAACCCGUUUUCAGAGUGAGACCCUGCAUGGAGGCAGCUCUUUUCCUGAAAGGAUAACAAAAGCAUGCUUUUGUGUGUAUUUCACUUGAUGGAAAGAAAUCCCCAGUGAGGCCGUUUUUUCCCCCUGAAUUCUCCCAAGUCCAGAAUGUAUCCAAGUUUCCAAUAUUACCUCAGAAGAGCCAUUCAUCUAUGAAGAUGGCCGAAUUGUCUUCCAGCUCGGUAGACAGUGUGUCUGCGAGAGAGAAGGUCUGCAUCUGCCAGUUCAGCCGGCCCUGACUGAAAAUAUUUGGGAAAAAAAUUACAAUUAAAAAGUAAGAAUAUUCACCUUCUGCCAUGAGCAAAAGCCUCCUGAAGCCUCACCAGAAGCUGAACAAAUGCUGGCGUCAUGCUUGUACAUCCUGCAGAAACACAGCUAACCCCUCCAUUGUGUCCUUGAGACUUCUUGUCUCCAUGCAGACUUAGGAGACAGCUUCUUCACUAAGUGAUCCCAAAUCUCAUGAGAGAGUGCUAGAACUUAGGGGGUUGUUUGGGGUGGGGCUGAGAAGGAUGUGAGGUUCAAUAAAAAUAGAGCAAGAGGGUGGGGUGCAGUGGCUCACACCUGUAAUCCCAGCACUUUGGGAGGGUGAGGCACACAGAUCACCGGAGGUCAGAAAUUUG